ACGAACGCUGGCGGCAUGCCUAACACAUGCAAGUCGAACGAGACCUUCGGGUCUAGUGGCGCACGGGUGCGUAACGCGUGGGAAUCUACCCUUGGGUUCGGGAUAACAGUUGGAAACGACUGCUAAUACCGGAUGAUGACUUCGGUCCAAAGAUUUAUCGCCCAAGGAUGAGCCCGCGUAGGAUUAGCUUGUUGGUGAGGUAAGAGCUCACCAAGGCGACGAUCCUUAGCUGGUCUGAGAGGAUGAUCAGCCACACUGGGACUGAGACACGGCCCAGACUCCUACGGGAGGCAGCAGUGGGGAAUAUUGGACAAUGGGCGAAAGCCUGAUCCAGCAAUGCCGCGUGAGUGAUGAAGGCCUUAGGGUUGUAAAGCUCUUUUACCCGGGAUGAUAAUGACAGUACCGGGAGAAUAAGCCCCGGCUAACUCCGU
rnacentral:rRNA from 1 species